rnacentral:rRNA from 1 species
CGUAGGAUGCAAGCGUUGUCCGGAUUUAUUGGGCGUAAAGAGUUCGUAGGCGGUUCGUUAAGUCUGGUGUUAAAGAUCGGGGCUCAACCCCGGGAGUGCACUGGAUACUGGCGGACUCGAGUGUGGUAGAGGCAAGUGGAAUUCCCAGUGUAGCGGUGAAAUGCGUAGAUAUUGGGAAGAACACCGGUGGCGCAAGCGACUUGCUGGGCCAUUACUGACGCUGAGGAACGAAAGCUAGGGGAGCGAAUGGG